ACGGGUGAGUAACACGUAUCCAACCUGCCGAUAACUCGGGGAUAGCCUUUCGAAAGAAAGAUUAAUACCCGAUGGUAUAAUCAGACCGCAUGGUCUUGUUAUUAAAGAAUUUCGGUUAUCGAUGGGGAUGCGUUCCAUUAGGCAGUUGGUGAGGUAACGGCUCACCAAACCUUCGAUGGAUAGGGGUUCUGAGAGGAAGGUCCCACACAUUGGAACUGAGACACGGUCCAAACUCCUACGGGAGGCAGCAGUGAGGAAUAUUGGUCAAUGGGCGCAGGCCUGAACCAGCCAAGUAGCGUGAAGGAUGACUGCCCUAUGGGUUGUAAACUUCUUUUAUAUGGGAAUAAAGUUUUCCACGUGUGGAAUUUUGUAUGUACCAUAUGAAUAAGGAUCGGCUAACUCCGUGCCAGCAGCCGCGGUAAUACGGAGGAUCCGAGCGUUAUCCGGAUUUAUUGGGUUUAAAGGGAGCGUAGGUGGACAGUUAAGUCAGUUGUGAAAGUUUGCGGCUCAACCGUAAAAUUGCAGUUGAUACUGGCUGUCUUGAGUACAGUAGAGGU
rnacentral:rRNA from 1 species